GGUAUCGCCGUUAGUCAUGUGCAAAUAUGGAUAGCUGUUUUAGCCAUCUUUAUUGACUGGUUUAUAAGAGUUAUCAGAUAUCACUUUGAUUAAAUUAGAGUGCUUAAAGCAAGUGUGUUACUUGGAUAUAAAUGCAUGGAAUGAUGGAAUAUGUUGUUAUUCUAUUUGUUGGUUUUUGAAUGAUAAAAUGAUUGAAAGGAACUGUUGGGGGCAUUCGUAUUGUUGUGAGAGAGGUGAAAUUCUUAGACCACAGCAAGACGAACUACUGCGAAAGCAUUUGCCAAGAAUGUUUUCAUUGAUCAAGAACGAAAGUUAGAGGUUCGAAGGCGAUCAGAUACCGCCCUAGUUCUAACCAUAAACUAUGCCAACUAGCAAUUUGCUUUGUAUUUUUUAUGACUAAGUGAGAGGCCACGGGAAACCUAAGUAGGGUUAUGGGGGAAGUAUGGUUGCAAAGCUGAAACUUAAAGGAAUUGACGGAAGGGCACCACCAGGAGUGGAGCCUGCGGCUUAAUUUGACUCAACACGGGAAAACUUACCUGGUCCUGACACUAGAAGGAUUGACAGAUUGAUAGCUCUUUCUUGAUUUGGUGGAUGGUGGUGCAUGGCCGUUCUUAGUUGGUGGAGUGAUCUGUCUGGUUAAUUCCGAUAACGAACGAGACUCUAGCCUAUUAAAUAAUACACGGAAUUUUAUCUUCCGCGGCAUUUCUUAGUGGGAUCAAGCG
rnacentral:rRNA from 1 species